rnacentral:lncRNA from 10 species
AGAAAAAGCUAUGUCUGUGGUGACAAGUGGGAGUAUUUCAGAAGCUUCAUGGGCUCAUAUGGAAGUUAAUCUUAGGGAUCCCAAGUCCUUGUUCUGCAGGGUCCUCAUCAACACUGAGCAGCUGAGCAAGUAUGGAGACAGGUACUCCUUUCCUGAGAUGAUCAUGUUUGUCCCUAGGCUUCAUGGUAGGAAAAUUAUCCCCUGGCUGCCUACUGAUC